UGGGGAAUUUUGGACAAUGGGCGAAAGCCUGAUCCAGCCAUGCCGCGUGAGUGAAGAAGGCCUUCGGGUUGUAAAGCUCUUUUAGUCGGAAAGAAAGAGUCGCAAUGAAUAAUUGUGAUUUAUGACGGUACCGACAGAAAAAGCACCGGCUAACUACGUGCCAGCAGCCGCGGUAAUACGUAGGGUGCGAGCGUUAAUCGGAAUUACUGGGCGUAAAGGGUGCGCAGGCGGUUUUGCAAGUCAGAUGUGAAAGCCCCGGGCUUAACCUGGGAAUUGCGUUUGAAACUACAAGGCUAGAGCGCAGCAGAGGGGAGUGGAAUUCCAUGUGUAGCAGUGAAAUGCGUAGAGAUGUGGAAGAACACCGAUGGCGAAGGCAGCUCCCUGGGUUGACACUGACGCUCAUGCACGAAAGCGUGGGGAGCAAACA
rnacentral:rRNA from 1 species